rnacentral:tRNA from 1 species
CGUUCAUAGCUCAGUUGGUUAGAGCACCACCUUGACAUGGUGGGGGUCGUUGGUUCGAAAAAAAAAAAAA